GGUUCAUCCACUUUGAGUUUCCAAUCUGACCUGUAAUCACGAAUCCUUUUAAUAAAAUCACGCCCAUUAGAAUCUGUGUAAAAUGUCCUGUCGGUCAUCAUAUCUGUCGUUAUUUGAACUGCUAUUUCUUUUCCAACUUCGUCGUCAAUGGGUAUGGGCCCAACAAUGAACUCAAAUUCGACAUGCUCCUUCGCCUUAUACACUCUUGUGAUCUGAGAAAUCCAAGGAUUGAUCUGAUGAUGCACUUCAUCUAAUAUAGGUCCUUGAAGAAUUUUGACAGGCACCUUUCCUUCAGGCUUUAUAGAGUAGGUACCGUUGGGUCGGAAAAUAUACGCUCCAGAGGCCUGAGGUUCACCGCCCGUUCCAUUAUAUCCAGCAUAAUAUAUGUACGAGUUUUCUAAAGAUGCUUUCACCAAGCUCCUGCUAUUGGAAUAAUAGGAUAGUUUUCCGUCAUUUGCAUUAUAAAGAAGCUUCAAGUGUCCCUGUCCAACUUCCACGGUGUUACUGUUACUUUCUUUGGGUGAAUAUUGUGUC
rnacentral:misc_RNA from 1 species